rnacentral:tRNA from 1 species
UUCUCGUUGGUAUAGUGGUGAGUAUCCCCGCCUGUCACGCGGGAGACCGGGGUUCGAUUCCCCGACGGGGAG